CCGAGUCUUGGGACCCUCUGGGUACCAGCUCCCACCAUUUGUGAACCUUUUUCGUUGCCUCGGCGGACCGAUGGGUCCCCCGUCCCCCGGCGCAAGCUGGGGAGCGUCCGCCGGAGGAUUUUCAAACCAGUCUUAAUCGUGAAAUCUGAGUCCAAACAAAAUAUAAACA
rnacentral:misc_RNA from 1 species